GAUGAACGCUGACAGAAUGCUUAACACAUGCAAGUCCACUUGAAUUUGGGUUUUUUCACUUAGAUUUGGGUGGCGGACGGGUGAGUAACGCGUAAAGAACUUGCCUCACAGCUAGGGACAACAUUUGGAAACGAAUGCUAAUACCUGAUAUUAUGAUUAUAAGGCAUCUUAGAAUUAUGAAAGCUAUAUGCGCUGUGAGAGAGCUUUGCGUCCCAUUAGCUAGUUGGAGAGGUAACGGCUCACCAAGGCGAUGAUGGGUAGCCGGCCUGAGAGGGUGAACGGCCACAAGGGGACUGAGACACGGCCCUUACGCCUACGGGAGGCAGCAGUGGGGAAUAUUGGACAAUGGACCAAGAGUCUGAUCCAGCAAUUCUGUGUGCACGAUGACGUUUUUCGGAAUGUAAAGUGCUUUCAGUUGGGAAGAAAAAAAUGACGGUACCCACAGAAGAAGUGACGGCUAAAUACGUG
rnacentral:rRNA from 1 species